AUUGAACGCUGGCGGCAUGCCUUACACAUGCAAGUCGAACGGCAGCACGGGUGCUUGCACCUGGUGGCGAGUGGCGAACGGGUGAGUAAUACAUCGGAACAUGUCCUGUAGUGGGGGAUAGCCCGGCGAAAGCCGGAUUAAUACUGCAUACGAUCUACGGAUGAAAGCGGGGGACCUUCGGGCCUCGCGCUUUGGGGUUGGCCGAUGGCUGAUUAGCUAGUUGGUGGGGUAAAGGCCUACCAAGGCGACGAUCAGUAGCCGGUCUGAGAGGGCGACCAGCCACACUGGAACUGAGACACGGCCCAGACUCCUACGGGAGGCAGCAGUGGGGAAUUUUGGACAAUGGGCGAAAGCCUGAUCCAGCAAUGCCGCGUGUGUGAAGAAGGCCUUCGGGUUGUAAAGCACUUUUGUCCGGAAAGAAAUCCUUGGCCCUAAUACGGUCGGGGGAUGACGGUACCGGAAGAAUAAGCACCGGCUAACUACGUG
rnacentral:rRNA from 1 species